GUUAUAGGGUCAAGCGAACAAGUGCAUGUGGUGGAUGCCUUGGCGAUCACAGGCGAUGAAGGACGCGGUAGCCUGCGAAAAGCGGAGGGGAGCUGGCAAACGAGCUUUGAUCCUCCGAUAUCCGAAUGGGGAAACCCGGCCCGUAUGGGUCAUCCGUAACUGAAUACAUAGGUUACGUGAAGCGAACGCGGUGAACUGAAACAUCUAAGUAACCGCAGGAAAAGAAAUCAACCGAGAUUCCCAGAGUAGUGGCGAGCGAAAUGGGACCAGCCUGUACUCUUUAUCUUCAUUGUUAGUCGAAGGCUCUGGAAAGUGCCGCCAUAGCAGGUGAUAGCCCUGUAGACGAAAACAGCGAGGAAGAACUAGGUGUACGGAAAGUAGGGCGGGACACGUGAAAUCCUGUCUGAAGAUGGGGGGACCAUCCUCCAAGGCUAAAUACUCGUGAUCGACCGAUAGUGAACCAGUACCGUGAGGGAAAGGCGAAAAGAACCCCGGGAGGGGAGUGAAACAGAUCCUGAAACCGCAUGCAUACAAACAGUCGGAGCCUCUGCGAAGGGGUGACGGCGUACCUUUUGUAUAAUGGGUCAGCGACUUACAUUCAGUGGCAAGCUUAACCG
rnacentral:rRNA from 1 species